GAGAUUUUCAAGCACAUCUAGGAAGUAUUUCAAAAGGUAAUUUAGGAAAAAUUUCAAAAGAUAAUCUUUAGGCCCUUCACAUGCUCCUAUCUUCCAGGUUCUGGAAGCAGCUAUCGCAAGUGCUUAAAUGUUCCUCCUGUGACUCUGUGACUGUCCAAAGUCCCUGUUUCCAGUUCAGCUUUCUUUGAAAAGCCCUUGAGCUUUAAUAUCACCAUCAUGCCUCAUUAAAACUCCUAUUCACUGGGUGCAGAAGACUGCUUAUUACUGAAAGUAAUUUGACUAAAACAUAAAUACUGCAAAAUCUGUCUACAUACGUCUCUUUGAAACAACCUGAACUCUUCUCUCAAUAUAAAAUUGAGGUGAAAUACCAAAUUAAGGCACAUGGGUCCGUUAUUGCCAAAGUGAUGGAUUUCCUGACAACCAUUCCACCCAGAAGAUUUUUUUUCCCAGAACUAAUAAUCCCAUCCCCGUUGCUGGUGAUUAACUUAAUAACGAGCAUGACAAUCAACAAACAGAUUGAAAAGGCAACCUACUCAGAAUGGGAGAAAAUAUGAAACCAUAUACCAGAGAUGAAAGUAAUAUCCAGAAUAUAUAAAGAAUUCCUACAACUUGAUAACAAAAACACCCCAAUCUAAAAAUGGACACAGAAUUUAAAUAGACAUUUCUCCAAUGAAGAUGGCCACCACACAUGUGAAAAGAUGCUCAACAUCACUAAUCAUCAAGGGAAAUGCAAAUCAAAACCACAAUAGCACAAUGAGAUAUCAUUUCAGACCCCGUAUGAUGUUAGGAUGGCUACUUUCAAAAAAACAGAAAAUAAGUGUUGGUAAGGAAACACCUGCACACUGUUGAUGGGAUUAUAAAAUGGGCAGCCACUAUGGAAAAUAGUAUGGAGGUUCCUAAAAAAACUGCAAUUAGAAUUCCCAUAUGAUCCAGUCAUCUCCUACUGCAUAUAUAUCCAAAAGAAUUGAAAGCAGGAUCUUGAAAAGAUAUCUGCUCUCCUAUGUUCAUGCAGCAUUAUUCACAACAGCCAAGAUGUAGAGGUGAUUCAAAUGUCCAUCAGUGAAUGAAUAGAUAAAGAAAUGUGGUAUAUACAUACAAUGGAAUCUUAGCCUAAAAAAGAAAGAAUUCCUGUCAUAUGCUACAGCAUGGAUGAACCUUGAGGACCUUAUGAUGGAUUCUGCUCUGUCGCCCAGGCUGGAUUGCAGCGGUGUGAUCUCGGCUCACGGCAACCUCUGCCUCCUGGUUUCAAGCAAUUCUCAUGCUUCAGCUUCCUGGGUAGCUGGGAUUACAGGCGC
rnacentral:lncRNA from 1 species